CCGACGGCGUUUCUGAAAACAAACCAACACAUUCAACAAUUACGUGUUGUAACGUACACAUUCAACCGUCGUCGUGUCAUUUACGACGUUUCAAUCUUGCCCAUUACAUUGUAAUGAUUUUACUGUCCUGGCCUUACGAAUUAGACGAUAAAAAUAACCACAAAAUCAGCAAUGGGGUAUGUUCUGCAAUGAAUCACGUGGUCUCGACAGAAUUAUCGAACAUGGAUGAGGUAUUGGAAGAUGAAGUGGUCAAUGUUAGAAACCGUUUCUCAAAAACACAACUCGCCAUACGGUAAACCUUCGCACAAGAGGAAAGAUCGGUGUAAGAGGACAGCAGAUUGUGGUUAACUUCAGAAAUAUGAGUGAGCUUUAGUGGGAUAAUUCAGUGACUGAUCCUGAGCUUAAAGGCACAAUUCAGCCUUUUGAAUGAUGGUUUUUAAGGCGCAUUUCAGCCCUUUUAAUUGAAAAAACUAACUAGGAAAAUCAAUUACGCAUUAUUCAAGAUCAGCAAACUUACUGUUCUUAACAUUUUAAAACAUUUUUAUUGUAAACAUUAAGUUUACUGAUUUUGAAUUAUGUAUAAUUGAUUUUCCUAGUUGGUUUAACAGGGCUGAAAUGCGCCUUAGCAAGCGAUGUUUUUGUCAACAUGGACCGUCAUCCGAAAAUUGGUAUGCUAAUUUUGGAGGCAUUUUGCAUCAUAGCGCUCGGUUAAGGAAGCAAAAAACUUCAAAAAUCUUGCAUUUUAUCAGAUCAUAGUCUAUCAAGAUAGGAUGGUCUGGAAACUAAACACAAGUCAUUGUAUUAUGUUUUUGUCGGAGUUUAUGUUAAUUUGUGCACAGUCACGGUGAUUGAGCUCAUUGUAUUUUCGUAUAAUGAAGUAAUCAUUCAAAAGGGAUAGCUGAGAUGAAACGUGCAACCACAAUGAAUAUUUAAUGAAGUUGAGACAAAGGAUUUGUGCAUGGUGAGAUAUAGUUCAACAUCAAACAAAGGUCUUCUAUUUUGUAGCUUUGAAGUUUGCCGGGUUUCCAGACCAUCAUAUCUUGACUGAAGCCCCGUUUACAUUACGCUCAAUUUUUGGUACGGCACGGAUAAAAUUGGUACCCGUACCACUUUUUUGGUUCUGGGACUGCCUAUUUAGGUAGUCCAAGAACCAAAAAGUGGUACGGUACCAAAAAUUGAGCGUAGUGUAAACGGGGCUUAGCUAAAUAGGUAGUCCAAGAACCAAAAAAGUGGUACGGGUACCAAUUCUAUCCGUGCCGUACCAAAAAUUGAGCGUAGUGUAAACGGGGCUUGACUCUGUCUACGGUCACAUGUGUUGAAGAUUACCACAAACUGAUACAAACACAGUUUUUAAUCCAGUCCCCGCUCGGCAAUCUGACGUCCGUGUCACAGAAUAGGAAGGUAUAGCAGAAGCGUAACUCAAGCAAGUAUUUGUCCGCGUUUUUACAAGCGAUUCGUCAUCAAUCACGCCAUCCUGGCUAGUACAACCGGCACUUUGUACCUACCAAAACCUGAUAAAAACUUCCGGUUGUACUAGCCAGGAUGACGUGGAUUGGCGUGAGCGAGUUAAACUUUUCGUGGACGUCAAACAAUAAGGGAAACGACUAGAGUUACGCUUCUGCUAUAACUUCCUAUCUCUCUCCGCCGCAGAGGCUUUAGUUUUCUUAGGAUUUAAUAUUACGAUGAGAUACAUUUCACUACACUUUACAUGGCGGAUCUUGGAACACGAGCGUAGCCGCUGGGCGAAGGAGCGCAGGUGGCAAAGGGACUUCCUAUUCUGUGUCCGUGUUGACAAAAACGCAGUGUGACCAGAUUUGGUAAAAAGUCCUACUUUUGGUAAAAUUUCGUGAAUUUUCAAAAAAAUUUGGUAAUGAGUUUCUUUUGGUAAAAUCUGAAAGGUUUGAAUUAUUAAAAAUAGUUGGUAAAAAUGUGUGUUUUUUGUUUAAUAACGUGCUCAAAGUGAUUAACAGAAUUGCCAAGCCUAAGAAAUAAAGCCUUAUCAUUAGCAAAAACUGCAAUACGAUGACACUUUUUGUGAAUAUUUUUUCUACUUUGAUGACGUAACUAUUGUUUUUUGGCAUUAUCAUGACGUAAUUAUUUGGGAAGCCGACAUUUGGUAAAUUUUUCCUUAAUUUAGUAAAAUUUGAACAAAAUUUUGGUAAUGACUGCUGAAAAAGUCUGGUCACACUGCAAAAACGUCGCUUGUUUGAGUUCGCUACUGAAAUUUAUACGGAUCAUAGAGAUUGCAAGGGGAAAGAAUAUUUUCUACUUUGUCAGAAACUAGACAGCUUGAAUAGUUCCUAUCACCAGUUUAUUUAUCAUGGAAGACAAAUUGAAUGUAAAGAAAUCUUAU